AGUGAAUAUGCUUGGCCUAGAAUGGAGAAAUGGUUUUCAGAGAAGUCGUGUAGGUUCUUUGGGACUUUGAAGAGAGGGAGUGGCAUGUGGUCAACGCACUUCCACUGAAGAAGUUGAGUUUUGGUUUGGGGACUUUUUUGCUUUCCUUGUUAAGGGCAACAUAAGCAGCAUUUCAGGGGAUGGGCAGGCGGCUUUCUUCUGCUGGCUGGCUGACAGCGCAGGUGCUGCUGGAGCAGCAGGCACUACAGAGCCAGUGUUCUCCAGUAAGCCCUCUGCCACUGUUCUUUGCUUGUUUCACCCUUGAGGAUGGCCUGCAUGGAGAGACGGGGUUGCAUCAUGUUGUCUAGGCUGGUCUACACUCCUGGACUCAAGCGGUCUUCCCACCUCGGCCUUCUAAACUGUUGGGAUUACAAAUAGAUGAGGUCUUGCUCUGUGGCCCGGCGUGGAGUGCAGUGGUAUGACGAUAGGUCAUUGCAGCCUCAAACUCCUGAGCUCAAGCAAUCCUCCUGCCUUAGCCUCCCAAGUUGUUGGAAUUACAGGGAUUGCAGAAUCCAAAAAGAGAUAAAGUGGUUCCAGAAGGGUAAUAUUUCCAGAACAAAGCAAAGCUUACCCUCACCUGUGAGUGUAAAACUAACAUCCUCACUGUUGAUCCAACACAGUUUUCACAAUAAUGCCAGAACUCUCCACGGUACUAACAGUCAAAGCACUGAGGAGAAGAUUUAUUUCUCUUCACAAAGAUCAGGUGGUUCAAUCAGAAGCAAGUGGCCACUGGAGAUUUGGAUGAGUUUG
rnacentral:lncRNA from 10 species